UGGGGAAUAUUGGACAAUGGGCGAAAGCCUGAUCCAGCCAUGCCGCGUGUGUGAAGAAGGUCUUCGGAUUGUAAAGCACUUUAAGUUGGGAGGAAGGGCAGUAAGCGAAUACCUUGCUGUUUUGACGUUACCGACAGAAUAAGCACCGGCUAACUCUGUGCCAGCAGCCGCGGUAAUCCAGAGGGUGCAAGCGUUAAUCGGAAUUACUUGGCGUAAAGCGCGCGUAGGUGGUUCGUUAAGUUGAAUGUGAAAGCCCCGGGCUCAACCUGGGAACUGCAUCCAAAACUGGCGAGCUAGAGUAGGGCAGAGGGUGGUGGAAUGUCCUGGGUAGCGGUGAAAGGCGUAGAUAUAGGAAGGAACACCAGUGGCGAAGGCGACCACCUGGGCUCAUACUGACACUGAGGUGCGAAAGCGUGGGGAGCAAACAGG
rnacentral:rRNA from 1 species